rnacentral:lncRNA from 1 species
CUUUUGUCUUCCUUUUUAAUUUAUGAUCAGUCUAAUCAAUAUAUGCAAAUGAAUCUUAUUAUAAACAUGAGAGCCCAACAUAUAACAUUUAAGAAAGCCAUCAAAACAAUUGAAGUUUAAAAGUAAUGAUGACUUUCUUUAAGGUUAUAUGUUGGGCUCUCAUAUUUAUAAUAAGAAUCCGUUUUCCGCCUGGCAAAUCUCUAGCUACGAUAUAUGCAAAUGAAGUUUACGUAAUCGUAUCUAUGAUGUAAUAAUUUAUGCUGAACCUAACACAUGCGCAGUUCACGACGAGCUUCUCUCUCGAUCUAUUCAAUAUGGUGGUCAAUCAAGAAAUGUUUUUGCUUGCAAAAAGAUCGUAAAUUGUUGGCGCUACAAGCUCGGAAAGAAGGAAGCAUCCAAACAAAUUCAUUUGUAACAUGGUGGAUAACAAAGUCCCUCCUUGAAAACGUACUUCAGUCAUUUUACGAUUAAAAGUCCAGCGAGAAAUGAAGUGAAAGGCGAUUUGAAAACCACGAGAUUGGUGGCGAUCGAAGGUGGACAGCAAGAUCGAAGCUCAGCAAGAUUGAAGAUUGUUCGAAGAAGAAGGAGUUCGCCGUUGACUAAAAGGUUUAUCUGAACAGCUAGUUGUCAAGAUGAAUGCGAAGACUCGCCCGGCCAAAUUCAAAAUGGCGAUGCCAAAGAAAACCAUCCACCUGGACCGUUCGCAGACCUUUCUGGGCAAGAUUGUUGUGCUGUCUGGUCAAAGUUAAGUAUUUUACUUUGAUGUUUGUGUGCCUUCGGCUAAUUGUUGGCCAGAAAUGACAAAAAGCCAUAUACAAUAUGAAAUAUUCUGCGUACAAGGUUAUCUAAAAUUUCGAACUUAAUUCUGCCUGCAAUGAUGAUAAUUUUUUACUGAAAAUUUAUGUCAUGAGCAACUUCCGCACCUAUAGACUGAAGCAGAACUGAACAUUUUGUCAUUAACGUUUAUCUCAACAGCCAGUUAUCAAGACGAACGUCAAGAGAACAGUUGAAAUAG